CAGCUACCAAAAGAAACCAACAAAUAUCUUCAUAAAUGCCAACUUAGAAAUGGACGGUAAGUAUGUGCAUUUUAUAUUAAAUACUGAUGUAUAGUACUUGCUGUAUUGGGGAUGAUUCUUAACAAAGCAAUGUUGGAUCUCUGUGGACUCCAAUCUUGCAAAUCAAAAAUGCAAUUACAUUAAUUUGUGUUUAGGGUAAAGCCUUCACAGUGAGUAACACCAAAGCCAAAGUUCAUA